rnacentral:rRNA from 1 species
UGAGGAAUAUUGGUCAAUGGGCGAGAGCCUGAACCAGCCAAAUCGCGUGAAGGAAGACUGCCUUAUGGGUUGUAAACUUCUUUUGUACAGGAAUAAAAAGGGAGACGUGUCUCCCAUUGCAUGUACUGUACGAAUAAGCAUCGGCUAACUCCGU